rnacentral:rRNA from 1 species
CCUACGGGAGGCAGCAGUGGGGAAUAUUGCACAAUGGGGGAAACCCUGAUGCAGCGACGCCGCGUGAGCGAGGAAGUAUUUCGGUAUGUAAAGCUCUAUCAGCAGGGACGAAAAAAGACGGUACCUGACUAAGAAGCCCCGGCUAACUACGUGCCAGCAGCCGCGGGAAUACGUAGGGGGCAAGCGUUAUCCGGAUUUACUGGGUGGAAAGGGAGCGUAGACGGCAAGGCAAGCCAGAAGUGAAAGGGCAGGGCUCAACCCUGUACAUGCUUUUGGAACUGUGGUUCUAGAGUGCAGGAGAGGUAAGUGGAAUUCCUAGUGUAGGGGUGAAAUGCGUAGAUAUUAGGAGGAACACCAGUGGCGAAGGCGGCUUACUGGACUGUAACUGACGUUGAGGCUCGAAAGCGUGGGGAGCAAACAGGAUUAGAUACCCUUGUAGUC